rnacentral:rRNA from 1 species
AGUGGCAGACGGGUGAGUAACAUGUAGGUAUCUUCCCUUUGGUGAGGAAUAACACGAGGAAACUUGUGCUAAUACCUCAUAAGUCUUUACGGAGAAAGCUUUAUGCGCCAAUGGAUGAGCCUGCACUUGAUUAGUUUGUUGGUAGGGUAAUGGCCUACCAAGACAAUGAUCAAUAGCUGAUUUGAGAGGAUGAUCAGCCACAUUGGGACUGAGACACGGCCCAAACUCCUACGGGAGGCAGCAGUAGGGAAUCUUGCACAAUGGGGGAAACCCUGAUGCAGCGAUGCCGCGUGAGUGAAGAAGGCCUUUGGGUUGUAAAGCUCUUUCGUCGGGGAAGAAAAUGACUGUACCCGAAUAAGAAGGUCCGGCUAACUUCGUGCCAGCAGCCGCGGUAAUACGAAGGGACCUAGCGUAGUUCGGAAUUACUGGGCUUAAAGAGUUCGUAGGUGGUUAAAAAAGUUGGUGGUGAAAUCCCAGAGCUUAACUCUGGAACUGCCAUCAAAACUUUUUAGCUAGAGUAUGAUAGAGGAAAGCAGAAUUUCUAGUGUAGAGGUGAAAUUCGUAGAUAUUAGAAAGAAUACCAAUUGCGAAGGCAGCUUUCUGGAUCAUUACUGACACUGAGGAACGAAAGCAUGGGUAGCGAAGAGGAUUAGAUACCCUCGUAGUCCAUGCCGUAAACGAUGUGUGUUAGACGUUGGAAAUUUAUUUUCUGUGUCGCAGCGAAAGCAAUAGACACACCGCCUGGGGAGUAC